UGUCCUGGGAUAGCUCAGUUGAUAGAGCAUGAGACUCUCAAUCUCAGGGCCAUAGGCUUGAGCCCCAUAGUGGGCAA